UUGCUAGAGCAAUGUCUGUUCUUUUCCUCUGCAUUGAAAGGACUAUUUAUCCUUUUAAAUGUAUUCAGAAAGUCAGCACAUUA